rnacentral:rRNA from 1 species
GGACGAACGCUGGCGGCGUGCUUACCCCAUGCAAGUCGAACGGAAAGGCCCUGCUUUUGUGGGGUGCUCGAGUGGCGAACGGGUGAGUAACACGUGAGUAACCUGCCCUUGACUUUGGGAUAACUUCAGGAAACUGGGGCUAAUACCGGAUAGGAGCUCCUGCUGCAUGGUGGGGGUUGGAAAGUUUCGGCGGUUGGGGAUGGACUCGCGGCUUAUCAGCUUGUUGGUGGGGUAGUGGCUUACCAAGGCUUUGACGGGUAGCCGGCCUGAGAGGGUGACCGGCCACAUUGGGACUGAGAUACGGCCCAGACUCCUACGGGAGGCAGCAGUGGGGAAUAUUGCACAAUGGGCGGAAGCCUGAUGCAGCAACGCCGCGUGCGGGAUGACGGCCUUCGGGUUGUAACCCGCUUUCGCCUGUGACGAAGCGUGAGUGACGGUAAUGGGUAAAGAAGCACCGGCUAACUACGUG